rnacentral:rRNA from 1 species
UACGGAGGGUGCGAGCGUUGUCCGGAAUCACUGGGCGUAAAGGGCGCGUAGGCGGUGCGAGAAGCGUGUGGUGAAAGGCCGGGGGCUCAACCCCCGGCUCGGCCGUGCGGACUCUCGCCGCUUGGUGAGUGCUGUAGAGGCGGGCGGAAUUCCGGGUGUAGCGGUGGAAUGCGUAGAGAUCCGGAAGAACACCGGUGGCGAAAGGCGGCCCGCUGGGCAGUGACUGACGCUGAGGCGCGACAGCGUGGGGGAGCGAACGGGAUAUGAGACCCGUACCGGUCCAGAUCCAAGUCCAUCUC